CGGAGGGGGCGAGCGUUAUUCGGAAUUAUUGGGCGUAAAGGGCGCGUAGGCGGCUAGACAAGUCAAAGGUGAAAUCCCUCGGCUCAACUGAGGAACUGCCUUUGAAACUGUCUGGCUUGAGUCCGGGAGGGGGUAGCGGAAUUCCCAGUGUAGCGGUGAAAUGCGUAGAUAUUGGGAGGAACACCAGUGGCGAAGGCGGCUACCUGGACCGGAACUGACGCUGAUGCGCGAAAGCGUGGGUAGCAAACAGGAUUAGAUACCCUGGUAGUCCACGCUGUAAACGAUGGGUGCUCGGUGUCGCGGGUAUCGACCCCUGCGGUGCCUUAGCCAACGCGUUAAGCACCCCGCCUGGGGAGUACGGUCGCAAGGCUG
rnacentral:rRNA from 1 species